CCGGCGCACGGGUGAGUAACGCGUAUCCAACCUGCCCACCACUUGGGGAUAACCUUGCGAAAGUAAGACUAAUACCCAAUGAUAUCUCUAGAAGACAUCUGAAAGAGAUUAAAGAUUUAUCGGUGAUGGAUGGGGAUGCGUCUGAUUAGCUUGUUGGCGGGGUAACGGCCCACCAAGGCAACGAUCAGUAGGGGUUCUGAGAGGAAGGUCCCUCACAUUGGAACUGAGACACGGUCCAA
rnacentral:rRNA from 1 species